rnacentral:rRNA from 1 species
UACGUAGGGUGCGAGCGUUAAUCGGAAUUACUGGGCGUAAAGCGUGCGCAGGCGGUUGUGCAAGACAGAUGUGAAAUCCCCCGGGCUUAACCUGGGAAUUGCAUUUGUGACUGCACGGCUAGAGUGUGUCAGAGGGGGGUAGAAUUCCACGUGUAGCAGUGAAAUGCGUAGAUAUGUGGAGGAAUACCGAUGGCGAAGGCAGCCCCCUGGGAUAACACUGACGCUCAUGCACGAAAGCGUGGGGAGCAAACAGG